rnacentral:rRNA from 1 species
AACGAACGCUGGCGGCAUGCCUAACACAUGCAAGUCGAACGAGACCUUCGGGUCUAGUGGCGCACGGGUGCGUAACGCGUGGGAACCUGCCCUUAGGUUCGGAAUAACUCCCCGAAAGGGGUGCUAAUACCGGAUAAUGUUUUCGGGCCAAAGAUUUAUCGCCUUUGGAUGGGCCCGCGUUGGAUUAGCUAGUUGGUAGGGUAAAAGCCUACCAAGGCGACGAUCCAUAGCUGGUCUGAGAGGAUGAUCAGCCACACUGGGACUGAGACACGGCCCAGACUCCUACGGGAGGCAGCAGUGGGGAAUAUUGGAAAAUGGGCGAAAGCCUGAUCCAGCAAUGCCGCGUGAGUGAUGAAGGCAUUAGGGUUGUAAAGCUCUUUUACCCGGGAUGAUAAUGACAGUACCGGGAGAAUAAGCUCCGGCUAACUCCGUG